CUACUUUCCUAAUUCAUUUCUUCAGACAUUACAAUCCCUACCUCUCCAAGAACGACCUUGUCCUCAAGGUCUUUGUUGAGCAACAAAAUCAGGAAAUCUGCUUUUGAUAUAUCUCCAAUCCUCCCAAGUGGCAUCAUCCUCCCUUAAAUUUGCCCAAUGAAUUAGAACUUUCACCCCCACACCAUUAUUUUCCUUCGCAAUACGCCUUUAAAGGAUUGCAACAGGUUGAAUCAAGAUUUAUCCUUCGUUAUCACAAAUUGGUGGCUGUGGCUGUGGAGUAAUGGAUGGACCAACACGCUUCUUCAACUGAGAGAUGUGAAAGACAAAAUGCAGCUGAGACCCUUUAGGAAGCUCUAACCGGGUCUGAUACUUACAGGUGCUGCAUCAGGCUUGAGGGGAAUAGAGUGAUCAUGAUCCCUCCUUGGUAGCAAGGACUUUGGCUCUGCAAACACCUUGAGAAAGUCCUGGAGUACUGAUCUGAUUUCUUCAGCCAAGAUCUGGGAUCUCCCUCUUCAAAGUAAGGGCAAUCCACUUUAGCAGCAACACUGUUUGAGUCUAGAAGAAUUCUCCUGUGGUUCCAUCAUCCUCAUUUUGCUGCUCGAUCCAUCCAUUUGGUGAGCCUCAACUGGAGCACUACCAAGGAUUCCAUCCUUGCUCACGAACAACUUAUCCAUCAUGAUGUCAAAUUUGUGAUUUAGAUCAUCCAUUUUGGAAUCAGUGGAUUCCAAUUUCUUAUUUGUUUCUGCCAUGUAAUUGUGUAACUGGGUCUCCAGUUUUUGACAUUUUCUUCUGUGGAUUUGGCUUGAGUUUCUGGUGCUGUCAUGGUACCAGGAUUCAACUCUGAUACCAAUUGUAAUAUACUAGAAUUUGAAAGAAAUAAUGGAAAGAAUAGGAUUUCUUUAUUGA